AUUGAACGCUGGUGGCAGGCCUAACACAUGCAAGUCGAACGAGUGGCGGACGGGUGAGUAAUGUCUGGGAAACUGCCUGAUGGAGGGGGAUAACUACUGGAAACGGUAGCUAAUACCGCAUACCAUCGGAUGUGCCCAGAUGGGAUUAGCUAGUUGGUGGGGUAACCGCUCACCUAGGCGACGAUCCCUAGCUGGUCGGAGAGGAUGCCCGGCCACACUGGGACUGAGACACGGUCCAGACUCCUACGGGAGGCAGCAGUGGGGAAUAUUGCACAAGGGGCGGAAGCCUGAUGCAGCCAUGCCGCGUGUAUGAAGAAGGCCUUCGGAUUGUAAAGUACUUUCAGCGGGGAAGCGUUACCCGCAGAAGAAGCCCCGGCUAACUCCGUGCCAGCAGCCGCGGUAAUUC
rnacentral:rRNA from 1 species